CAGAUUUUCUGAUGACUCUAACUUGUGCUUUGCUGACAGCGGUGCCGAUGUGUUCCUUAGGCGGAAUGACGGCUGCUGGCUAAAGGUGGUCAGCGGCUGCCCCGGAACCGUCGUCGAAGUGGUGGAAUCAACAAGGACCGUUAGGUAUAUUUCCUCGGAAACCCGCCUUGAGGAUUGGCCGCCAGCUUUGAAGGAAGUGGCCUUCUCUCUCCCACUGUUGCCUACUGAUGAAAGGCUCGAACCCUUAGAAGU